GAACUCGUAAGUAAGGGAAACUCAUGUUUUGUAACGUUUGUUUGAAAUAGAUAUAUGUUCCCAGUAAAUGUUGUGGUCUUAUCGUUUUCCCCGUCGACAUGCUCCAUCGCCAUCGCGGUAUAGAUCCUGAAUUACGUUUUGGACUGGCACCAGGUUGUUGAAAUUUUGGCAAAGUUGCCAGUGUCAACUUUGUUUUGUGACCAGCAAUACCCGCCUUUUAGUUUUAGGUUAUUAAUGAAUGCAACUUGAUUUUUCAGCCCCCUUCCUUGUGGUGAUUUUUGAAGACAAAAAAGGAAGGAUACUUCAUAGGAAGACGUGAACUCCUGCUGAUGUGCCUGUUUCAUGAAAAGGGAUCAAGGAAAAGAAGCCAGUUGCUGCCUGGUGGCCAGCAACUUGGUGUUUUUACGAGGCUAGCGACACCGAUGUGGUACUCGAAGUUCUGAAACCGGCAAAGAAAAAACAACUGGAACUUUGUAGUGAGCAAGAAGAUCUGCACGCUUAGGAAUGCCUUCAAGUGAAUGAGCCAUGCCUCUUGAAGGACAGCUUCCAUGACGACCCCUGCCAGGACGAGGAUGACUUCCACUUUCAUAUGAUGACUUCCACUUUCAUAUGAUGGCUACCAUAUAAUGAUAUCUUCUGUUGAUGAUGUCCACCUCUGGCUACUUGUUAUUGCUGUUAUUACUCCAAAUAAAGAGAAUACUAUA